GGAAUAUUGGACAAUGGGCGCAAGCCUGAUCCAGCCAUGCCGCGUGUGUGAAGAAGGCCUUCGGGUUGUAAAGCACUUUUGUUGGGGAAGAAAAGCUACCGGUUAAUACCCGGGAGUGCUGACGGUACCCAAAGAAUAACCACCGGCUAACUUCGUGCCAUCAGCCUCGGUAAACCGAAGGGUGCAAGCGUUACUCGGAAUGACUGGGCGUAAAGCGUGCGUAGGUGGUUCGUUAAGUCUGUCGUGAAAGCCCCGGGCUCAACCUGGGAAUGGCGAUGGAUACUGGCGGGCUAGAGUGCGGUAGAGGAGAGUGGAAUUCCCGGUGUAGCAGUGAAAUGCGUAGAGAUCGGGAGGAACAUCAGUUGCGAAGGCGGCUCUCUGGACCAGCACUGACACUGAGGCACGAAAGCGUGGGGAGCAAAC
rnacentral:rRNA from 1 species